UACGUAGGGUGCGAGCGUUGUCCGGAAUUACUGGGCGUAAAGAGCUCGUAGGUGGUUUGUCGCGUUGUUCGUGAAAACUCACAGCUUAACUGUGGGCGUGCGGGCGAUACGGGCAGACUGGAGGUAUGCAGGGGAGAACGGAACUCCUGGUGUAGCGGUGGAAUGCGCAGAUAUCAGGAGGAACACCGGUGGCGAAGGCAGCUCUCUGGGACGGUACUGACGCUGAGACGCGAAAGCGUGGGGAGCGAACAGG
rnacentral:rRNA from 1 species